rnacentral:rRNA from 1 species
AUUGAACGCUGGCGGCAGGCUUAACACAUGCAAGUCGAACGGUAACAGGAAGAAAGCUUACUUUCUUUGCUGACGAGUGGCGGACGGGUGAGUAAUGCUUGGGAAUCUGCCUUAUGGAGGGGGAUAACUACGGGAAACUGUAGCUAAUACCGCGUAAUAUCUUCGGAUUAAAGUGUGGGACCUUCGGGCCACAUGCCAUAAGAUGAGCCCAAGUGAGAUUAGGUAGUUGGUGAGGUAAAGGCUCACCAAGCUGACGAUCUCUAGCUGGUUUGAGAGGAUGACCAGCCACACUGGAACUGAGACACGGUCCAGACUCCUACGGGAGGCAGCAGUGGGGAAUAUUGCACAAUGGGCGCAAGCCUGAUGCAGCCAUGCCGCGUGAAUGAAGAAGGCUUUCGGGUUGUAAAGUUCUUUCAGCGAUGAGGAAGGUGCAUUAUCUAAUAGGUGAUGUAAUUGACGUUAGUCGCAGAAGAAGCACCGGCUAACUCCGUGCCAGCAGCCGCGGUAAUACGGAGGGUGCGAGCGUUAAUCGGAAUAACUGGGCGUAAAGGGCACGCAGGCGGUUGUCUAAGUCAGAUGUGAAAGCCCCGAGCUUAACUUGGGAAUUGCAUUUGAGACUGGGCGACUAGAGUCCUCUAGGGAGGGGUAGAAUUCCACGUGUAGCGGUGAAAUGCGUAGAGAUGUGGAGGAAUACCGAAGGCGAAGGCGGCCCCUUGGAGAGAGACUGACGCUGAGUGCGAAAGCGUGGGUAGCAAACAGG